CACACCAUGGGAGUGGGUUGCACCAGAAGUAGCUAGUCUAACCUUCGGGAGGACGGUUACCACGGUGUGAUUCAUGACUGGGGUGAAGUCGUAACAAGGUAGCCGUAGGGGACCCUGCGGCUGGAUCACCUCCUUAAUCGACGACA
rnacentral:rRNA from 1 species